rnacentral:rRNA from 1 species
AUUGAACGCUGGCGGCAUGCCUUACACAUGCAAGUCGAACGGUAACGCGGGGCAACCUGGCGACGAGUGGCGAACGGGUGAGUAAUGCAUCGGAACGUGCCCAGUAGUGGGGGAUAGCUCGGCGAAAGCCGGAUUAAUACCGCAUACGACCUACGGGUGAAAGCGGGGGAUCGCAAGACCUCGCGCUCUUGGAGCGGCCGAUGUCAGAUUAGGUUGUUGGUGAGGUAAAGGCUCACCAAGCCGACGAUCUGUAGCUGGUCUGAGAGGACGACCAGCCACACUGGGACUGAGACACGGCCCAGACUCCUACGGGAGGCAGCAGUGGGGAAUUUUGGACAAUGGGGGCAACCCUGAUCCAGCCAUGCCGCGUGCGGGAAGAAGGCCUUCGGGUUGUAAACCGCUUUUGUCAGGGAAGAAACGCUCUGGGCUAAUACCCCGGGGUAAUGACGGUACCUGAAGAAUAAGCACCGGCUAACUACGUGCCAGCCGCCGCCGUAAAAC